CACGUAGUUGGCCGCACCUUCUUCUGCAGGUACCGUCAAAUUCGUUCCUACUGAAAGCGGUUUACAACCCGAGAGCCUUCUUCCCGCACGCGGCGUUGCUGCGUCAGGCUUUCGCCCAUUGCGCAAGAUUCCCUACUGCUGCCUCCCGUAGGAGUCUGGGCCGUGUCUCAGUCCCAGUGUGGCUGAUCAUCCUCUCAGACCAGCUACCCGUCGAUGCCUUGGUAGGCCGUUACCCCACCAACUAGCUGAUAGGCCGCGAGACCCGCCCGAUCCGAUAAAUCUUUCGUCAUCUCCUCAGGAGAGGUGAUGACGGCAUCCGGUAUUAGCAAAUGUUUCCACUUGUUAUUCCAGAGACCGGGAUAGGUUUCUCACGUGUUACUCACCCGUUCGCCACUAGGUCUUCCUCAGUGUUGCCACUGAUUGGACCCCGUUCGACUUGCAUGUAUGAAGCACGCCGCCAGCGUCGUCCUGAGCCAGGAGUCAACUAC
rnacentral:rRNA from 1 species